rnacentral:misc_RNA from 1 species
GGAGGAAGAGGAGGAGAAGGGUUAUCAUAGUGGACAUCAAUCAAGAUUGGGUGGAUAUAACACCGCUAGCUCAAGUGGAUCCUCUUCGUUAUCGUCAGGACCAUGGGCUAGUGGUUAUGGUCCAGCACCGCAUUAUCUUCAACACCGAGAAUAUCGGCAACAACAAAGACAUCCUUACAUGCAUCAGCAACAACAUCAAAGUCGUAAUGGUAACAAUUAUCAAUCAUCUCAAAGUAAUUAUCACGGAUAUCAACAAAGGAAUGGCAACUCGGAUCGAUAUGGCGGUAAUAGCGGAGGAAAUAGCGGAUGGAGACGAUAAAUGAAUUUAUUUUUGUUUGUUUCUUUUCUUCUUUUUUUUUUUUUUCUUUUUUCUUUUUCCUCUAUAACGUAUGCUACUAAUAUUCUUUAAUAUUUUAUUUGAUGUAAUUUUCAGUCAGCAUAAUAGGAUUACAAGUGGAAAAUUGAAUUAAUAUUGACAAUUAAUUAAACGGAACGUAUGUUUAUUGUUAUUAUUAU